GACGAACGCUGGCGGCGUGCUUAACACAUGCAAGUCGAGCGGUAAGGCCCUUUCGGGGGUACACGAGCGGCGAACGGGUGAGUAACACGUGGGUGACCUGCCCUCAGCUCUGGGAUAAGCCUGGGAAACCGGGUCUAAUACCGGAUAUGACUCCAUGACGCAUGUUGUGGGGUGGAAAGCCUUGUGCGGCUGAGGAUGGGCCCGCGGCCUAUCAGCUUGUUGGUGGGGUGANGGCCUACCAAGGCGACGACGGGUAGCCGGCCUGAGAGGGCGACCGGCCACACUGGGACUGAGACACGGCCCAGACUCCUACGGGAGGCAGCAGUGGGGAAUCUUGCGCAAUGGGCGAAAGCCUGACGCAGCGACGCCGCGUGAGGGAUGACGGCCUCGG
rnacentral:rRNA from 1 species